rnacentral:rRNA from 1 species
UACAGAGGGUGCAAGCGUUAAUCGGAAUUACUGGGCGUAAAGCGUGUGUAGGUGGUUGGAUAAGUUAGAUGUAAAAUCCCCGGGCUUAACCUGGGCAUUGCGUUUAAGACUGUUCAACUAGAGUACUGUAGAGGAUAGUGGAAUUUCCAGUGUAGCGGUGAAAUGCGUAGAUAUUGGAAGGAACACCAGUGGCGAAGGCGACUAUCUGGAUAGAUACUGACACUGAGACACGAAAGCGUGGGGAGCAAACAGG